GGCCGACUGGCGAAAUGGCAUCGCGUCUGACUACGAUUUGAUCGUCAUCAGGAGAUUGCAGGUUCGACCCCUGCGUCGGUCA
rnacentral:tRNA from 1 species